UCGAAGGAGCUGUCACUUCUGUAAUUGCUCGGUAUAGAGCCCCACACCGCAGCACCAUUGCACAAGCAUUGCCUCCUCCCCCUCCUCGCUUCCCUACUUCUUGUCGUUUUUAGGGGCUGCAGACAUUUUCGUAAUCCUUCAACAACCCAUGCCCCUUGUCUCUUAUUACUUAAAUUGCGUUGGUGUUUCUUUGUGUUCCAGUAACUUCAGGCCUCUACAUUUUCCCAUCACGUCAUCCAAAAUUGUGCCUUCAGCUUUCCUGGCCUGCUUUUCCUUCCAUGAGAGCUCCCAUGGGCCUUACCUGUUUUUAGGAGACGAAGAUCUUGGUCCACUUGCCUCAGUCUUCCUUACCACCCCUUUCUGCACACAUUAGGAGUCGCUGCUUGUCUUCUUUUUAUUCAAAUAAAUUGAGUGCAGCUUGUAGAUGGGGAUGACCCUCUGGAACUGUAAGCAAACCCCCAAUGAAAUGUCUCCUCACAGAAACAGAGCAGUGACUAAGACAAAAGUCUUGUGAUGACUAUUGACUACAUCUGGGGACACUUGCUGACCUGGAGCUUGCAGUAACCUCCUUUCCCUGCCUCCCAAGGGAUGGGAUUACAGGUGUGGACUACCACACUGAAUGUCUACAUGCAUGAAGGCGUCUUUGGAUGGUACUGGGAGAGCCAUGGGAACAAGAAGGACCAGGCAGAGUUACAUGGCUGCACAUCUGAGCAGAAAUACAGUGCAAAGAAGGUUCUGUAGUUCCAUCAAGAAGAAUAAACUUGUUAACAAUGAAUCCAAAGUUAUGAUUAAGACAUAAGAAGUCUCUAAUCUCGAUGUUUAAAUACAAGGUAUCUGCACUCUUUCUUGAUUGAAGUAUUGUUCCAAAGUAUUUUUCAAUACAAUGGCAGAUACGGAACCUUUACUUCUACAACGUGGGAGCCACUAGUAACAUUCCAUCUCCCUAGAAAUCAGAUGCACUAAAAAAAGAGACCAGCAAGCUUCAAGCAGUAAAUCUAGGUUAAAAAAGAAAGAGUUCCCACCGCAAAUGAGAACCCAGUGGUUCUCACUCUCAAAAGCUUUGCUACUUAAAUCCUACCACAAAAUAGUAACUUAAAGUGCCUGUCAGGUUUUCUUCUUACCUCU